GAUGAACGCUGGCGGCGUGCCUAAUACAUGCAAGUCGAGCGAACAGACGAGGAGCUUGCUCCUCUGACGUUAGCGGCGGACGGGUGAGUAACACGUGGAUAACCUACCUAUAAGACUGGGAUAAAUUCGGGAAACCGGAGCUAAUACCGGAUAAUAUAUUGAACCGCAUGGUUCAAUAGUGAAAGACGAUUUUGCUGUCACUUAUAGAUGGAUCCGCGCCGCAUUAGCUAGUUGGUAAGGUAACGGCUUACCAAGGCAACGAUGCGUAGCCGACCUGAGAGGGUGAUCGGCCACACUGGAACUGAGACACGGUCCAGACUCCUACGGGAGGCAGCAGUAGGGAAUCUUCCGCAAUGGGCGAAAGCCUGACGGAGCAACGCCGCGUGAGUGAUGAAGGUCUUCGGAUCGUAAAACUCUGUUAUUAGGGAAGAACAAAUGUGUAAGUAACUAUGCACGUCUUGACGGUACCUAAUCAGAAAGCCACGGCUAACUACGUG
rnacentral:rRNA from 1 species